CCUACGGGGGGCAGCAGUGAGGAAUAUUGGUCAAUGGACGAGAGUCUGAACCAGCCAAGUAGCGUGAAGGAUGACUGCCCUAUGGGUUGUAAACUUCUUUUAUAUGGGAAUAAAAUGUUCCACGUGUGGGAUUUUGUAUGUACCAUAUGAAUAAGGAUCGGCUAACUCCGUGCCAGCAGCCGCGGUAAUACGGAGGAUACGAGCGUUAUCCGGAUUUAUUGGGUUUAAAGGGAGCGUAGGUGGAUUGUUAAGUCAGUUGUGAAAGUUUGCGGCUCAACCGUAGAAUUGCAGUUGAAACUGGCAGUCUUGAGUACAGUAGAGGUGGGCGGAAUUCGUGGUGUAGCGGUGAAAUGCUUAGAUAUCACGAAGAACUCCGAUUGCGAAGGCAGUUCACUGGACUGCAACUGACACUGAGGCUCGAAAGUGUGGGUAUCAAACAGGAUUAGAUACCCUUGUAGUC
rnacentral:rRNA from 1 species